rnacentral:tRNA from 1 species
GCCCGGGUAGCCCAACUGGCAGGAGGCGGCUGGCUUAGAACCAGCACAGUGCGCGUUCGAAUCGCGCCCCGGGUAC